UGCAUGUGGAGCAUUUUGUGGACGGAGGAAACUUGUCGGCCCCCACAUACCUCCUUGACCAUGGUGCUGAUAUCAGUCAGGAAGGGGAAGAAGGGGCCACUGUUCCCGACUGCAAAAAAUGUAAUGAGCAAUGUGGCAAAGCAACAACCCAACUCCAAGGUGGGGCGGGCCCUAUGAUAGCGAAAUGAUGGCAAAGGUGAAUGGGUCCUGGAACAUCCCAUGAUUGAUGCUGCUUUUAGGACCAUGGUGCUGUCUGGCAUAGGUUUGGCCAUCGAAGCAGUUUUGUGUGCUCCGGUGAUCACUCCGACGCCUCCCGUUCUGCCCCUCCAGUGGCUGCUUCCUCUUCGGUUCCGGCAUAGCCCCUGCUACAACUUUUUAACGGCCCUCAUCACCAACUGUUGGAGACAUAUGGAGCCCUGGAUCCAGCUGAUCCAUCCGUCCGUCUCCAAGAGGAAGAAGUGGAAGAAUGAAAGAUGUCGAUCUCUAUGAACUGAUGCAUUUGAUGCAUCGAUCCAUCCACAACUGUUCAUCGGAGGAAAAAGACCUCUUCUCUUCAUCAACACCAAGAGAAACCACGGCCCAGCACUUAAGCACAGGAGCAACUGGUUGGAUGCCGGAAGAAGCAAAGAUAUCGCUGCUGAAGCGGCACCUUCAAAGAUCUAGAAGCGACAGCCUUAGAAGACUAUUGAUCACUGCUUUGUUUGAGGAGAGAUGAAGCUUUUUCUCCUUCCUGGUGGAAGCAGUUCCCCAAGCGCUGGACUAUCGUCGCCCUCUGCUUGCUUCUUCUCCUUCCUGCUCUGCAACAUGGACCUUACCUAUGGAUCUCAUCGGUGCGACUUGGUGGUCGCCCUCGUGGUCUCCGGCGACGGUUGUUGGGCGCCCAUGCGUGCAAGGUUGAAGGCUUGGUUUGGUGCAUGUCGCCUCUACUAUGACGCCUUAGCGGCGUUGCUUUACGGCCUCGGCUGUUGCGACGAUGACAAAGUGGUCGAUGCAGUGGCUACGGGAGGCUACGGAUAAGAUAAAAAUCCUGGGAGCACUGCUUUGUCGCCACCCAAAAUUCUGAUCUCCGGGCGAGGCUACACGAGGUAUGAAGAUUGGCCAUGCUUUUCUAUUAAACACAAGGAAGGUCUGUCUUGGUCUUGGUGUGACCAUUCAUUCAACCUGAAGAACAACCAACAAGGGAGGUAGAAGCUUGUUUUAGUUUGCAGGGGUGUUGGGUUAGCUUGUUAGCUAUGUUUGGCUUUUGUUGAGGAAACGAUUUGGUUGGAUGAUGAUA